rnacentral:rRNA from 1 species
CGUAGUCAACAUGCCCAGGGGACGUGGAUAACCUCGGGAAACUGAGGAUAAACCACGAUAAGUCACUACUUCUGGAAUGGGUAAUGACUCAAAUCUACAUGGCCCCUGGAUUGGACUGCGGCCGAUCAGGCUGUUGGUGAGGUAAUGGCCCACCAAACCUGUAACCGGUACGGGCUCUGAGAGGAGGAGCCCGGAGAUGGGCAGUGAGACAAGGGCCCAGGCCCUAUGGGGCGCAGCAGGCGCGAAACCUCUGCAAUAGGCGAAAGCCUGACAGGGUUACUCUGAGUGAUUUCCGUUAAGGAGAUCUUUUGGCACCUCUAAAAAUGGUGCAGAAUAAGGGGUGGGCAAGUCUGGUGUCAGCCGCCGCGGUAAUACCAGCACCCCGAGUGGUCGGGACGUUUAUUGGGCCUAAAGCAUCCGUAGCCGGUUCUACAAGUCUUCCGUUAAAUCCACCUGCUUAACAGAUGGGCUGCGGAAGAUACUAUGGAGCUAGGAGGCGGGAGAGGCAAGCGGUACUCGAUGGGUAGGGGUAAAAUCCGUUGAUCCAUUGAAGACCACCAGUGGCGAAGGCGGCUUGCCAGAACGCGCUCGACGGUGAGGGAUGAAAGCUGGGGGAGCAAACCGGAUUAGAUACCCGGGUAGUCCCAGCUGU